CCUACGGGAGGCAGCAGUGGGGAAUAUUGCACAAUGGGGGCAACCCUGAUGCAGCGACGCCGCGUGAGUGAAGAAGUAUUUCGGUAUGUAAAGCUCUAUCAGCAGGGAAGAAAAUGACGGUACCUGAUUCAGAAGCCCCGGCUAACUACGUGCCAGCAGCCGCGGUAAUACGUAGGGGGCCAGCGUUAUCCGGAUUUACUGGGUGUAAAGGGAGCGUAGACGGCAGCACAAGUCUGGAGUGAAAUGCCGUGGCUUAACCCCGGAACUGCUUUGGAAACUGUGCAGCUAGAGUGCAGGAGAGGUAAGUGGAAUUCCUGGUGUAGCGGUGAAAUGCGUAGAUAUUAGGAAGAACACCAGUGGCGAAGGCGGCUUACUGGGCUGUAACUGACGUUGAGGCUCGAAAGCGUGGGGAGCAAACAGGAUUAGAUACCCUUGUAGUC
rnacentral:rRNA from 1 species